rnacentral:rRNA from 1 species
GCUGGCUCGACUUCACUCCAACCCCUGUGACAUACCACUUGUUGCCUCGGCGGAUCAGCCCGCUCCCGGUAAAACGGGACGGCCCGCCAGAGGACCCCUAAACUCUGUUUCUAUAUGUAACUUCUGAGUAAAACCAUAAAUAAAUCAAAACUUUCAACAACGGAUCUCUUGGUUCUGGCAUCGAUGAAGAACGCAGCAAAAUGCGAUAAGUAAUGUGAAUUGCAGAAUUCAGUGAAUCAUCGAAUCUUUGAACGCACAUUGCGCCCGCCAGUAUUCUGGCGGGCAUGCCUGUUCGAGCGUCAUUUCAACCCUCAAGCACAGCUUGGUGUUGGGACUCGCGUUAAUUCGCGUUCCUCAAAUUGAUUGGCGGUCACGUCGAGCUUCCAUAGCGUAGUAGUAAAACCCUCGUUACUGGUAAUCGUCGCGGCCACGCCGUUAAACCCCAACUUCUGAAUGUUGACCUCGGAUCAGGUAGGAAUACCCGCUGAACUUAAGCAUAUCAAUAGCCCGGAG